rnacentral:rRNA from 1 species
UUGCCUUAGUAACGGCGAGUGAAGCGGCAACAGCUCAAAUUUGAAAUCUGGCCCCCUCGGGGUCCGAGUUGUAAUUUGUAGAGGAUGCUUCGGCGAGGGCUCCCGUCUAAGUUCCUUGGAACAGGACGUCGUAGAGGGUGAGAAUCCCGUAUGCGAUGGGUUGCCCGAGCCAUGUGAAGCUCCUUCGACGAGUCGAGUUGUUUGGGAAUGCAGCUCUAAAUGGGAGGUAAAUUUCUUCUAAAGCUAAAUACCGGCCAGAGACCGAUAGCGCACAAGUAGAGUGAUCGAAAGAUGAAAAGCACUUUGGAAAGAGAGUUAAAAAGUACGUGAAAUUGUUGAAAGGGAAGCGCUUGCAGCCAGACUCGUCCGCAGUUGCUCAGCCGGUCUCCUGACCGGUGUACUCUUCUGCGGCCGGGCCAGCAUCAGUUCGGGCGGUCGGAUAAAGGUCCCGGGAAUGUAGCUCCUCUCGGGGAGUGUUAUAGCCCGGGGCGGAAUGCGGCCAGCCCGGACUGAGGAUCUCGCUUCGGCUAGGAUGCUGGCGUAAUGGCUGUAAGCGGCCCGUCUUGAAACACGGACCAAGGAGUCUAACAUCUACGCGAGUGUUUGGGUGUCAAACCCAAGCGCGUAAUUAAAGUGAACGGAGGUGGGAACCCCUCGCGGGGCGCACCAUCGACCGAUCCUGAUGUCUUCGGAUGGAUUUGAGUAAGAGCGUAGCUGUUGGGACCCGAAAGAUGGUGAACUAUGCCUGAAUAGGGUGAAGCCAGAGGAAACUCUGGUGGAGGCUCGCAGCGGUUCUGACGUGCAAAUCGAUCGUCAAAUUUGGGUAUAGGGGCGAAAGACUAAUCGAACCAUCUAGUAGCUGGGUCCUGCCG